CUUUUUAGGGUUAAACAUCAAUUUUUCGACGAGUCUCUUACUUUUAGAAACUAAUGACAUUUUUUAACAUGGCUCUUAUUUUUAAGGACU
rfam:Populus trichocarpa scaffold_18_contig_251, whole genome shotgun sequence.